rnacentral:tRNA from 1 species
ACUUAAAUAAUUUAAAUAAAAUAUUGAUUUGUGGAAUCAAAAAUAUGAUUAAUUCAUUUUAGGUU